rnacentral:rRNA from 1 species
AUUGAACGCUGGCGGCGGGCCUAACACAUGCAAGUCGAGCGGAUGAAGGGAGCUUGCUCCUGGAUUCAGCGGCGGACGGGUGAGUAAUGCCUAGGAAUCUGCCUGGUAGUGGGGGAUAACGUCCGGAAACGGGCGCUAAUACCGCAUACGUCCUGAGGGAGAAAGUGGGGGAUCUUCGGACCUCACGCCAUCAGAUGAGCCUAGGUCGGAUUAGCUAGUUGGUGGGGUAAAGGCCUACCAAGGCGACGAUCCGUAACUGGUCUGAGAGGAUGAUCAGUCACACUGGAACUGAGACACGGUCCAGACUCCUACGGGAGGCAGCAGUGGGGAAUAUUGGACAAUGGGCGAAAGCCUGAUCCAGCCAUGCCGCGUGUGUGAAGAAGGUCUUCGGAUUGUAAAGCACUUUAAGUUGGGAGGAAGGGCAGUAAGUUAAUACCUUGCUGUUUUGACGUUACCAACAGAAUAAGCACCGGCUAACUUCGUG